rnacentral:rRNA from 1 species
UACGAAGGGUGCAAGCGUUACUCGGAAUUACCGGGCGUAAAGCGUGCGUAGGUGGUUCGUUAAGUCUGAUGUGAAAGCCCUGGGCUCAACCUGGGAAUGGCAUUGGAUACUGGCGACCUAGAGUGCGGUAGAGGGGUGUGGAAUUCCCGGUGUAGCAGUGAAAUGCGUAGAUAUCGGGAGGAACAUCUGUGGCGAAGGCGACACCCUGGACCAGCACUGACACUGAGGCACGAAAGCGUGGGGAGCAAACAGG